rnacentral:rRNA from 1 species
UACGGAGGAUGCGAGCGUUGUCCGGAUUUAUUGGGCGUAAAGCGAGUGCAGGCGGUUCAAUAAGUCUGAUGUGAAAGCCUUCGGCUCAACCGGAGAAUUGCAUCAGAAACUGUUGAACUUGAGUGCAGAAGAGGAGAGUGGAACUCCAUGUGUAGCGGUGGAAUGCGUAGAUAUAUGGAAGAACACCAGUGGCGAAGGCGGCUCUCUGGUCUGCAACUGACGCUGAAGCACGAAAGCGUGGGUAUCGAACAGG